UAUCCUGGCUCACUGCGUCUUCAUGUGUUGGGAACAACCUGCUUCCUGCUCACAGAGACCUGGUCUGACCUGUCAUAUACAAAAGCCUGAGGCUGUCAAAAAAAAGAUUGAUCUUCAUGAAGAUCGUCAAAGAGUAGGUGUGAUGAUUUAACUCUGGGUGGCCACUGGGUCCCCACUCUUUCUUGGCCACUGUGCCUACAUCUCUCUCUCUCUC